UGCAUCUGAAGCCUGACGAGGAUGAGAACCUCCGGGGGCAAGAGGUUCGACUCGAGCGCAGCGAGAGAACGUUGCGUCAGCAACGGCCCGCAGGGCGAGCC
rnacentral:sRNA from 2 species